CAUUACCCAGUCUUAUUCAGCAAAUUCAAAAAACAACUUAAUUUAGGUUAAAUAUUGUUUAAAUAAAAUGUUUUACCGUAAUCUAUAUUAGUCAUUAUGACAACUCCACAAAAUCGGGCGAUCGGAUCAAAUUAUAUAAGUCAAUGCGCCACGGCUGGCGGAUGUGAGGACCAGGAUGUAAAACAUCCCUUUAAAUUUGAUCAAAUCACUAAACCCGACAGGUUUCUUUACAGAUGUCUCUAUAGCAACCGCUCGCGUGACCCUAUAGACCCGUGCGGUCAAGUGAGUCGAAAUUAUAAGCAAUUAGCGCUUUUGUAACGAGUGGCACACAUACAGGAAAUGACAUCAACGGGUCAAAACUAAAAAUAUGUCGCCUGGUGGACAGCCCGGGACGCCCCGAGCCUGGAUCUACGCGGCUGGUUUAUACACUUUUACCAUAAUAUGGUGGAUGAUGAGAAUCUGAUCUGCAAUGGGAAUCAAACGUCACUUUCAUCCCGAGGAAGUUCAACGCAGACGACACACUUUUGUCCUGACGCCGUGGGGUUAUGGUUUCUGUGGAUGGAAAACGUGAGAUUGAUGGACUAAUGGAUUUAAAGAGUUAACAUGGGACCACAGCUCUUUCAUGCCCAUCUGUCAUGAGGUAGGCAUUCCAGUUUGGCUGCUGACCGCUGGCCCUGCUGAUCCAGGGGGUCAGCACACCUCUGACGUAACCUCUGCCUUGUGCUUCUUCCUCUACCACACCGGGGGCACCUGGCAUCCCUCCCUACCAUGGCAGACCAGAUCAAUGGUAAGAACAAUUCGAGCAGAUUGACCAGAGGUCGGCAUCAAAGGCCCCCUGCUUGUCUCCCUGCCACCUGGAGCUCAGCGAGGGUCACGGGCCGCCCGGGCCACCACAGUCUCCUCUCCUCUUCAGCUGGCUGGGUAGCUGAAUGAGACCCAGGCAGGCUGUGAGGCGGCUCAGUGUUGGCCCAGCAGCCCACAUGGGGAGAGGGCCAGAGGUCAAGCCCAUCAGAGCACUCCGUUUCGUCUGAUGAGAGGAUCUGGUCUGGUUUUAAUGAGGCAACACUUGAUUCUGCAUCUCUUCACACACAUGAGCCGACGUAGUUAUUGUGUCAAGCUAAUGUGUGGAUUGUACUAGACAUAAUGCUAUCCUUUUCUUUCUCGUCGCAGGACGCGGAAGGAGCAUCUUAACCAUUUCGAGGUAUAUUUAUUACCAUACGUGCAUUAAAUUAGUUUAUUGCGUUUAAUUGUGCUAGUCGUUUACGUUUUAGUGUAUAUUUAAACUGAUUAUAUUUCUUAACAAUCUACAAAUGUUUCAUUUCAGUAGACAGUAGAUGGAAAAUUGUUGCUAAGCAUUUAUUUAUUCAUACAACAUUUCCAAUAUGAGCACCAUGGCUCUCUUCACCAAAAUGUUGGUCAUAUGGUGAAAGAACAGGCAAUUAUUUUCAUGCAGCUGUCAAUACUCUGAACAGGCUAAUGCCGUCUAAUUAAAUGCAAUUUCUCGGGCCACUAAUGAAAAUGAACAACUCUGAGGGGUUUUUAAUAUCGCUGUGAAGCUUUUCAACUUCCGCAGCUUAUGAAUCGAUGCUUCUGUGUCCCUUUACUUCUGCGAUGAGGGACGAAAGGGGCUGCGAUGAGAAAGACAUACACAGACAGGGAGAAAAAAGGCAAGUUUGGCAAGUAGAGGAGUGAAGGGGGAGACAGAUGGCGUGAAGUCUGCAUCUCUUUGGCGUUGGACGCAUGGCGCUAAAAUCCUCCCUCUCACACAUUCCAACAAAUCCAACCAGGAGGCUCAGGAGUAUGUUCCACUGCUCUCGAAAUGAAGCAUCUGACCAGGAUAGAGCCACACGCUCUUUCUCAGUGUCUUUCACACACACACACACACAUGCAUUUUCGCGCACAUACAUUCACACACUGUCAGCCACCCGUAACCUAUCCAGAAGUUUACAUUUUUAUUAGUAUGUCACCCAUUCCGGAGUUUAUUGGCUUGUUAAAGUAGGAAGCUUUGAGAGCUUGGGAGAGAGAACGUGGGGCCAUGACUGGAAAUAUUGGAGCAGAGAAAAAGAGACCAAGUGCCAUUCAAGUGUAAAAUCUCAUUGAGUAAACAUGGGGCCAAGGCAUGGAAACAAAGUGCGUACAAUCCAUUUGCGGCAGAAAAAAUAAGGAGCUUUGCGGUUCGUCACACUAGCCGCGUUGCGUCGCUUGCCAGUUAGUCUCCGCCGUUCAAGUUGUACGUGAUCUUUUUAAUUAGCUUCUCGAAAAGUACAUUUGAGUACAUUUAGUUGAAACAAACAUUGGCAUAUUCUGCAAUGAUCUAUAAAUGGUUCUGUUUAGUGCCUCGCAAAGCUUUAUUUUAACCUAUAACUACAUUUUAUUUGUCAUUAAGCAGAAAUGUAACGCUAAUAGCUGUCGACAUAAAAAACGACCAUGUGUUCCUCCUGUCAGCCAGAUGCAAAAGGCACAGAUGGGAUUUUUUUCCAAAUGGAGUUCUUGAUAGCAGACAAUUAAUGUGGCUUUGACUACAGUACUCUCCCAUUGAUUCUGUAAAAUGUAUUCAUCGAAGAAAUAUGAUCAGCCUCGGAUGAAUCUUGUCAGAUGUUUCAAAUCACAAAUUAAACGCUUUAGUGCCUCUCCCUCCAACCUCCAGGGCUGAGUGCUCCUGCAUGACACUCUUUCCUCCUCCCUCCCUCUCUCUCUCUCUGGCUCUUUCUCUAUCUCUCUCGCUCACUCUCUAGAUGGAUGGCUGAGUUCUGCCUUCUGUUUGCACUGCCAUACUAAUGAAUGAGUCAGCUGGGAAUAUGUAAUACUGUGAAAAGGUCACCGGAGGCAUGUGUAUC